AACGAACGUUGGCGGCGUGGAUUAGGCAUGCAAGUCGCGGGAAUCCCAGCAAUGGGGGAACCGGCGUAAGGGGCAGUAAGGCGUGGGUACCUACCCCGUGGUCCGGGAUAGCCCGCCGAGAGGCGGGGUAAUACCGGAUGACCUCGGGAGAGCAAAGCUCCGGCGCCGCGGGCGGGGCCCACGUGAUAUUAGCUAGUUGGCGGGGUGACGGCCCACCAAGGCGGAGAUGUCUAGCGGGUGUGAGAGCACGACCCGCGCCACUCGCACUGAGACACUGGCGAGACACCUACGGGUGGCUGCAGUCGAGGAUCUUCGGCAAUGCGCGCAAGCGCGACCGAGCGACGCCGCGUGUGCGACGAAGGCCUUCGGGUUGUAAAGCACUGUCGAGGGGGAGGAAGGCCGCAAGGCGUGACCGAUCCCUGGAGGAAGCUCGGGCUAAGUUCGUGCCAGCCGCCGCAGUAAAAC
rnacentral:rRNA from 1 species